AAAGAAGUAUAUUUAAAAUUUCCAGAACUGCCGCAGAGUGGUAUUUUGGAAAUAGAUGACCACAGAAGAACGUUAAUGAUAAUGAUGAAGUGGCACAAAGGAAGAAUGAAGGAGUUACGGAUGCUUCAUUGGGAAAUCAGAUUUUUUUUAAAAAAGAGAAAAAGCCUGUAGGAGUGGUGCCAUGAAAGACUCAGGACAAGUCCUUAGAAGUCCAACAUGAGCUAUCACAAAGACUGCACAAUAUGAAGAAAGACUCACCAUGGCCAACACAAAAGAAAUGAAACUAAUUCAAAAAUGGACAUUUGUAUUAAAAAGACAAUCACCUCAGAAUUUAUUUCCAAAAGAAUCUGCAUAUUGUGUGGCAAAAGCCAGAAUUUGGGAGGGUGUCUGAGACAGAAAGGACUGCACUGAACUUUAUCCCUGGCAAGAGACAAAGAAAGGUGCUUAGAAAGGACAAAGUGUCCAGUGCUGCUUGCUCAGGUAAAAUAUUCAAAAAGCAGUGCUUGGCCAUACAAGACUGUCAGGCUGCAAAUGGGACAGCUUUUCUUUUUAACAUCUCGCACACCUUUUAAAGACAGCACAGUCCUGAGGAUGCUGACAAUACUAAGUAAGUCAGCAACAGGCAGGUGGCUAAGGUGAAACUGAUGUUUUGCAAAGAUGGGUUUGGUCCAUCUCAUGGAGUAUGUCAAUUAAAUACAAGUGUGUAGGAAAAUUUCAUUUUGGAAAAGAUGCAGUUUGUAACAGUGGAAGUGAAAAAAGUAAAUCCAUUUUUUUAGCUAAAGAGUCGCAGAACUUGUUAAAGGACGGAAACCAUGAAAAAUUGUGGAAAUACUGAGAUUGAAUUUACAAGAACAGGACAGCUACUUCAGACACCUCCUAGAAACACAAAUCUGGCCUGCAUAGGUUGAGGAGGAGCAGAAAGUGCCUGUGCUUUGGCAGAGUCAUCAGAGGAACCAGGAGGGAUUCUCACUGCUCAUUUAAAAGCCCAGAGGUGAGAUGGAGUGAUGUAGAACCGGAAAACUGUACCUGCAGAUCCAAAGGAUUGAACUGAGUACUUAUAACAUGGAUCUCUUUCUAGUAAAGUGUUUAAUGCCAAUAAAUUUGUUGUGCUGGAUGUUUCAUUAGGGCUCUGAUAAGCAGUAACACAUCUGCAGGUAUUGUUUUCAAGUCUGCAUUGGAAAUGCUGUUUCUAAAGGCAAUUUUAAUUUUGAGCAGCACGAAAGAUAUAGUUGAGAAAAAUUGAUUCUCUUAUUAUAUAUAUUUCAGUAUACAAAGGUUUAUAUAGGCUACAUUUUGGUCUGAGGGAAACAACCCAAAACAAGGGAGUAAACAGAAACUUUGAAAAAUUUUAGAGAGUCAGGUGCAGGUAUAGAACUAAACAACUAAAUCCUUGUGAUAUAACUUACUGACCAGACUGGUUACCUCAACAGUGUUAUGCAAGAUGCACAGUAAUGAAGUUCUCAGAGUAAUCAUCAUUAGAUGGAAAAUUAAAUAACCAUCAAAAUUGAAAAUAUUUUGAGGUGGAAGAGCUAUUGGCAAUGCAUAUGAAAGGAAAAUUAUGAAAGAUAAAGAAAAAUCAAUUAACAGUCACUAUAAGCUAGAUGUAAUAUUAACAAGGAGAAGAAGGAAUUUAAUGAGAUAAAGAGUGUGUCAGUUAAUGUAUUCAGUGACAUUUCCACACUGAUUAAAAAAAAAAAAGAAAGAAAAUACCUGAAAAUACCGGAAAAGGUAGGUAUAAUUUUUGACAUGGAUAUUAAAGUCUUUUAAAAGUACCGUUUUUAAUAUUCACAAAAUAAAAGAAGGAAAAGGUCACUCAGUUCUCCUGCCAGUUCAGGCAGAGACACUUUCCAAGAUUUUCAACAUUUCUCUUCCUGUAUAGUUUCAAGUGCUUCAGGCAAUGAGAGUACCACCACCUCUCUUUAGAAACUGUAGCUUCAUACAUCUCACUGUCAGAGAACAAUUUCUUAUAUUCUGUUUAAAUAUUUUUUGUCUUAAUUUCAUUCAAUUUCUCAUUAUUAUUACACCAUUUACUACCAUAAAUAAUUACAUUCUCUCAAUUUGUGCAACCUCAAUUAAUGCAACUGUCCUUUCCUCUAAUUUGUCAACAGCUUUCUGGUAAAAUGAUAUCCACAAAUGAACUCAAUGUUGUGGACAUAACAUAGUGAUAUGCCUACACCAACUGCAUUUCAAUAGAGGGGUAUGGGAGCUGACUCUAAGGGGGUACUGAGAGCUUUCUUAAAUAUCAUUUGCUUUUUCCUAACCUUGCUCAGAAAUGAUCUGUGUUAGUGUGUGAGAAGCAUGGUGCUAAAAAAGCCAUAGUGCUUUGGAGUGGUCUCUUAGUGGAGCACUGCGCUGACAUGUCCUAGAGGUAUGGAGAUAAGCAGGCAGGUUAGACUUGCAAGAAAGGCAGUUCCACACAUUGACUCAGAAUCUAAGUUUCAGGUGUUCACUGAAAUAAAAGCCUCAAGUUAAAAAUCUAUGUUUUCACAAACAACAACAAAGACACAAAAUCAGAUAAUAAACCAGCAUGCUCAUUUUUUAUUACUAUUAUACAAUAUACACUGCUUAUCCAUUCAGUCUCAUAGAAAAGAGCUUUUCCUAGAUUUUGCCUUUCCAAUGCUUUCAAAACCAAAUAACUGAGCUUUCUCUAUCAAAAGGAGGCUAGAAACAACAUAACCUUGUUUAUAACUUUUAACUUUUUGUGGUUAUAAUAUUUGCCGGAUAUGAAUGAUCAAUGAAGUUCAUUUUCCCACCACAGCCCUCGCAGUGCCGUGCUUUGCACUGGCAGCUGGAAAGGUGCUGAUAACACCCCAGUGUUUGGGUACUGCUGGGCAGGGCUGGCACAGCAUCAGCACUGUCUCUCAACGUUUCCCCAUCAAGGGGCUGGUGGUGGGCAAGAUCCUGGAAGGGGACCAGCUGACCCAAACUGACCAGAGGCGUGUCCCAUAGCAUAUGGCAUCAGCUCAGAUAUGAAAGCUAAGUGGGAGGCAUUCAUUAAUUACAAUGUUUGCCUUCCAAAAUAACAUCUACGUGUGCUGUAGCCCUGCUUCCCAGGAAGUAGCUGAACAUUGCCCGCUGAUGGGAAGUAGAGAAUAAACCUAUUUGUUUUUAUGUUUGCACCCAAACUUUUGCUUCUGUGGUAGUAAACUGCCUUAUCUCAGCCAUGAGUUGUUUUUCCAUCUUAUUUUCUCUCCCCUGUCCUACAGGGACAGGGAGCAAUAGAACAACUUGGUGGGCACCUGGAAUCUGGCCAAGGUCAACCAACCACACUGCUUUAUCAGCAGGACAUCAUUCUUGAAGAGCAACAAAGAGAACUUUCCCACAUUUUCCUCCUGACUCUUUUUUCUUUUGAGUGGAAAAAAAGCUCAACUCUGAUUCCUGAUUCUGCAGGCCUUUUUGGUUAUUCUAGCUCCAGUCAAGAAAAAAAGAGAAAUCCCACAAAGUAUAUAAGGAUAAUUUUGGAAUGUGUUUAACUGAGGAAUUAGCUUGUAUUUUGUUUUUCAUUAUGAAGAAAGCAUAUUCUUCAGUAAAACAACAAAAAAAAAUCAAUUAAAAAUAUCUAACAAAUUUUAGAAUAACUCCCAUCUCCCAGACUAUAGGCAACAGAUUACAAUUGAAGAGUUGCUUGAGUGCAUGGUGAAGCAGGAGGCAUCAGAUGGAAACCCUUUAUUGAUAAAAUGAGAAAAGUAUUUCAGGAAAUAGAUAAAAAAUAUAAAAGAAUAGGCAAGGGACGAGUUCAAAAAGACAAAGGAAAAUGUGUGCAACCCAAAGCAGAAUAAUCAUCUAGAGGGUCACCAACGUCACAAUAAUAUAUUUUAAAAUAGCCUGCAGACAGUGCAUAAAAGGCACUAUAAGCAUUCAAAACAAACUGAAAGGCGUAUUUCACAAAAAGAAGUUGAGUUUGAAAGCACAGGCUCUGGAGUUCCCUGUACCACUGUGACCUUCUAUUAUCCAAUGUUCAACAUUUUCUCAGCUGUCAUACCCAUAAUAAUCUGCUGCCCAAAGCCUGGAGGAUGUGAGUAAAAGCAAAAAACUCCCACUUCAGUUCACCAGAUAGCAUCAUAUUCCUACUAAUGUUUUAACCCAGAGCAUCCUCACAGUGAACCUGCAGUGUUCAAAUUACUUUAUGCGAUUACUUGAUCUGUGCAGGCAUGGACAGCUAAGUGAUUUCUCAUUUCCUCACUCUCAAAACAUCUCUUUGGCUGGAUUUUUGGGGUUUACACUCUGGGUGUUUUCCCUUGGUUUUGUAUUUUUAACAGACUUUUCUGUAAUAACAGAAGUUACCUCCAUACUUGCAGGCCUGCCUUACACACAGCUAAAAGGAAUAAGGCCAGAAAGAACUGGCUAACAUAUCACAGACCAAGAAAAUUAAAAAAUAAGUAAAAAAAAAAAAAAAAAAAAAAAAAAUUCGAAUUAGUAUGAACAGUGAAAAAAAACCCGAAGAAAUAAUGCCAUGGAUGGUUAACCAGGCAGCUGAAACUAUAUAAAAUUUGGGGAAAAAACUUUUCUGCUGAAAAAUAUAUAUAAAUAUUUGCCCCAAAUAAGGGAUGAGAAAGUUAAUUAACUAAAAUACUAAAACCAUAGGAUAAAUUCCCAGGCAGUUUCCUUGGAAACAAAAUUAAAUCAGCAAAUUCAGAUUAUAUUAAUAUUAAUAAGAAAAAGUAUUUUGCAUAUUGUUUUCAUAGAAAAGCAUUAAAAAAAGUAUAAUUUCACUAGACAGUAGGAAAACAUAUUACCAUAAUGCUUGAUAAAACAUGAAGGUAUACAACAGGUCACCAGAUAAUUUUGAUUGUGUAUUUCUGCAUAAUAGAAACCUUUGUGAUUAAAGAGGACUCCUUAUUUGCUUACAGUUCCCUGCAUGCUUAGGUUCUUUGCUGGAGCCGGUCUAGGUUUCUCAGUUAUUAUCUUCAGCUACUUGUCCUGAAGAAAAAAGUCGCACAUAUGUGAACCAGUGAGUCCCUGGUGAGACCCUGAUGGAGAACAUCUGGUCAACAGAGGGGAUACUAUGACUAGUCUAUCGUAAGAGAAAGGCCUGAAUCCACCCCAUAAAUAGUGAGUCAUAGUUGCCUGCUGACUAGAUACCAGAUUUUUUAAAUAUUCUUGGUCCAGACACUCAGGUCUGGUUAGAGGAGAAAGGUCAAUAACCUGCAAACGUGCAAACAGUGAAAUCAUUUAAAUACUUAUGUCAGCAGCUGGGAAGUCAAGCAAACAGUUUAAUCACGGCUUGGUGGUCUGGCAGGGAGAUAACCAUGCAUUAAAUACCUGCUUCACAUGUCAAUCACCAGAGUAUAAUUUCUCACUCAGAAGUUGCAUUACCUCUUUUUAAACUGCUAUAACACACCUUAAGCUUAAAGCACUCAAUAGCUAUGUUGAGUUAUGGACUUGUGCAGGGCACAUGUUUGUCAAGGAAAACAACAUGUAUAUUUUGUUUAUGCUUUAUUGUUUUCUGCUUAGAGCCAUAUAUACAAUUUUUUCUCAUGGAUUUCUCAAAAAGAUUUGGUUACUUAAAAUGUCUACUGAAAUAAUGCAUUGAGAGGUUCUCAGGUUUAUUUUCUCUUUACAAUACUUUGUUUAACUAAUUUAUUUUGAUUUCCCUGACAGCAAAACACUAUUUUGGCCCUGAAAAAUGCAUUGCAACCUGUACAGGCUUCUUUUAUUUAUGUUGACUUACACUGUGCUAUCUAUAAAUAUUUUAAAAGAUGAAGUAGGUGGAUUACAGCCCACCCACUCUUUCUUUUUUUUCUUUUUCUCAGACACGCACACAUUUAAAAUUGCACGAAUGUCUGUUGAGUGAGGCUUGAAAGUCUCCCUGGAUCUCUAUUUCCUAUUCAGAAGAAGCAGAGAAAAGUCAGAAGCAAGCCUAUCUGUGUAACCAUGACAACAAGUACUUGUAUAUAAUGCUUAUCUAUAUAGUAUAGUUUCUGAUUCCUUCAAGAGUUCACGCAGCCAUAGGCUGAAUUCUUUGGUAAGCUAUCUGAGCCAUGUCAAAUGGUUCAGUGGAAUCACAUUAGUAUUGCUGGGCACUGUAAACACUUUGCACUCAAGAAUGAAUGAGAAAAUAUGCUGAAUGGUGGAACAGAGACAGGCCUGGGUCUGGAAGGUGAAAGAAAGAAAAAAAAAAAUAUGUGUCAGUAAUUUUCCAGUGAUUAAUAUUUGACAGAUUGAUUUGGAGUUGCUAAGAGAGAUCUUCAAUUGCUAUUCCACAUCAAAUUAGUGGCUAGCAGAUAAUAUAUAUGGAUUUUUGGAGAACUGGGAUUUUGUAGACUAGCAGACAGAGAGAGGCAUUAUGCCAGCUGAGUGUAAAAGGCUAGUUGAUCAAUAAUUAAAAGAAACAUCUUGAGUUGAGGUUAGCAUUAAGUUAUUUGAGGAAUGAAGAAUUCUCUGGUUUGCAACCUUCAUUCUUUUUUCUUUUUCCAAAUAAGUAGUUUAUUGUUUUGUGUAAAACAUGUAUGAAUUAUUGUAAGAUUGUUGGAAUAAUACAUAAAAUUACCAAUGUUUGCAACCUCAGAGGUUAUUCUGCCUUUAACAUUGUUAAAAUUUAUCAUUAUUACAGAGAAAAUAUUAUGCUCCUUUUACAUAUAGAUAUUUUUUCUUAAUUAAACAUUUAUGUUAUUUUAUAAUCUAACAUGUUACCAAUAUCCUCAUAGCUCCUUGUCUGGUACUUGGGGAUGGUCUCCAAAACUAUGCCUACUUCAAAUUUCAGGUGCUGGGAUUUUUAAGCAGUUAGAAGUCUGCCCUCAUACUCUCAUAAAAAUGUCAAAGAAUAAAAUACAAUAAAAAAUAGGACUUUUCAUUA